GUUCAUGCUGAGAGGUCUGCUCAGUUAAAGAGCACAAAAGCUUCAUCCUGUGUUACACUGAUAGCUUUGAUAUUUCUGCAAGUUUUCAGAUGUUUUUUUUGUGAGCUGAGGUGUCACAAACCCCUGUCUAUGUCACCCAGCUCCUGGCAUGGCACUAUAAAGGCAGCAGAGUGAGCCCUGCCCCACAGGAGGGUCUGCAAGGGGCACAGGCCCCAGCUGCACCCACCUAUGGAUUGGGAUCAGCUGUUGAAAACACCUCGUGGGGACUGGAGUGAGAGCAGGAAAGUGAUGGGAGAGAAAAAAUGUUGUGUUGGUACUAACAAUUGCAGGAUGUAGUUCAGAGGAGCAACGGGUUUUGUAAAAUCCUUUUCUUGCCAGAAAGGAAUGUUUAGUUCCUCCCCAACCCCAGUUUGGUCUGGGAGGCAAGACUGCUUGCUCCAAGCAUUGCCUGGAAAGAGCACUGGGCAUCCCUGAAUUCACGGGAAGGAAAGCCAAUGCAGGUGCUGCACAGUGACUGUGGUAGAAGGGUGGAUGCAUCAGCCCUGGCCACAGAGGUUCCACUGAAGAACUUCUACCUGUCCCCAGAGUGUUAUUUACAGAACUUUUGGAGAAAAUUUCAUGAUCUGAACAGCUGCUAUAACUUGUUGUAGCAGUGAAGGUCUAAGGCACUAACAGAAACUUGAGUGUUCCUCUAAUUUAUUGAAGAUAACUAUUAGCCUUUGAAUCUCAAUUUCCUGUGAGCAGAUUUUGGAUGUCUGGAGUGUCUGGGGCUGGUACUGGAACCAUUGAAGAGAAAUUAGGUUGGAACAAGUAAGAUGAUUGCCCACAUUGUAAUCAAUGUCAUUAUUAAGGAACCAGUGAAAAAAUGGUGAGUUUUGUUCUCCAGAAGAUCCCUGGCUGAGAACAGAAACUGACAACCUGCUUAUUAUGGCCUCCAAAAACCAAAACACCAGCCUAAAAGUGUUUGAAGCAAUCUCUAUGUAGUUAAAAA